GGCCCCGUGAGGUAAUCAGGAUAGCCUGGCUGGCUUCGGACCAGCUCGUCUGGGUUCAAAUCCCAGCGGGGCCA
rnacentral:tRNA from 1 species